GGCGACGAUCCCUAGCUGGUCUGAGAGGAUGAUCAGCCACACUGGAACUGAGACACGGUCCAGACUCCUACGGGAGGCAGCAGUGGGGAAUAUUGCACAAUGGGCGCAAGCCUGAUGCAGCCAUGCCGCGUGUAUGAAGAAGGCCUUCGGGUUGUAAAGUACUUUCAGCAGUCAGGAAGGUGGAUGCGUUAAUAGCGUAUUCAUUUGACGUUAGCUGCAGAAGAAGCACCGGCUAACUCCGUGCCAGCAGCCGCGGUAAUACGGAGGGUGCGAGCGUUAAUCGGAAUUACUGGGCGUAAAGCGCAUGCAGGUGGUUUGUUAAGUCAGAUGUGAAAGCCCGGGGCUCAACCUCGGAAUAGCAUUUGAAACUGGCAGACUAGAGUACUGUAGAGGGGGGUAGAAUUUCAGGUGUAGCGGUGAAAUGCGUAGAGAUCUGAAGGAAUACCAGUUGCGAAGGCGGCCCCCUGGACAGAUACUGACACUCAUAUGCGAAAGC
rnacentral:rRNA from 1 species